rnacentral:tRNA from 1 species
CAGGGUAGAGCUUGGUAAGUUAAGCGUUUCAUUUACACUGGAAAAUUAUCUGUGCGAAUCAGGUUAUCCUGA